rnacentral:rRNA from 1 species
UACGUAGGCAGCGAGCGUUGUUCGGAAUUACUGGGCGUAAAGAGUGUGUAGGCGGUGCUCCCAGUCUGUUGUGAAAUCUCCCGGCUUAACUGGGAGGAUGCAGCGGAAACUAGAGUGCUAGAGGGUGGGAGAGGUAAGCGGAAUUCCUGGUGUAGCGGUGAAAUGCGUAGAUAUCAGGAGGAACACCUGUGGUGUAGACAGCUUACUGGACCACUUCUGACGCUGAGACACGAAAGCGUGGGUAGCAAACAGG